GCCAGUGAUGAUAUGAUCCAUGUUGUUUGAGCUGUAGGUGAGCCAAGUCCCUGUAUUUGCAGGGAGAACCUACUUGGCGAACCUCCAUUGCAUAUGAUAGUUAAGGAUUUUACUGAGGC